CAGUUUGAUAGUUAACUACGUCAUCCUCAUUAUACUGCUGCUAAUAUUAUGGUUGUUAUACCUUGGGAUGUAAGAAGCUCAGAAGAUUACAACCUCUUCAGUCAAGAGAAGCCCAUCAUGCCACCUGGAGGAAGUAACUAGUAACUUCAUGUGACAGAAGAUAGAACUUGUUUUAGAAAGAAAUGCAAGAUAAUCUGAGAAGAACAACUGUCUGUAUCAAAUUAAAAACAGUAUAAUUACUUAACGUAGAGUGUUGGUUCCUCUAAAAGUCAAAGUUAGUAGGUUGGCUUGAGUGCCUCUAUACUCAAAGUAAACACCAGCCAGUAAAACUUCAAAUGUUCUAUUUAUUUUCCUUUGUCUAGUUCAUUUAAGUGGCUUCUAUAUAUAUUUAAGAAGGUAAAUGAAUAUUAUGUAACAAAAGACGUAGUUGCUGCACGUUUUAAAAGAUAUUUGCAUCUAUUUUUCUACGAAUACUUACUUCCUAUGACAUUUUAAAAUCUUUGCUCGACUACUUCUUAGCAUCACAAAUUUUAGCUUAAAUCAAGAUCGAAGUUCACAAACUCUUUAUCUGAGUAGCAAUAUAAUCUGUAAAGUUAAGCCUGAGUUAUGAUCUAAAGAUAAUCAGGAACUGUACGUAAUAUAACAUGUAUAGCUAAAGGAAAAUCCGAGUUAUGAUUUUGAGAUAAUCAUAAACUGUACGUAUACCUUUGAAAUUUUCUUCCAAAGGUUUGAUGGGUUUCUUGCAGAUAGAGAUGAUUUUGAGAUAUUUUUUUCUAAAACAAUGUGGUCACCACAUUUAAAUCGUUGUGUACAUAUAUCUACGUGUGAUUUAAAAUAAAAAAAGGUUUUUGUGUAGUUAUUCUCUCACGUGAUUGUUGUAUUUUAUCUUUAAUGUUUGGUUUGUUGAAAUUAGUCAUAGUUAUUUUGUCAGCAUGAUCAGUUUUCAUAUAUUUACAAAUAUUAAAUUUUUGAGGUUCUUUCAUGCUUAUGUAUUAGACGUCGUUUUGUUAUUGUAACAGCUUUUCUUCCAAACUAAUUACAUCAUUUAUUUCAGUGUAAAUUUCUCAAAAACUUGAAUGAGUUUUUACUCUCUUCAUCAUUAUCUAUCCACUUCACGUAAUCACUGUCGUGUUCCUAUUAAUGUGAAAAACUUUAAAACUAAGAUAGGGAGAGGUUUUAUCACCGUUGUAAGAAAAAUAUAUAAUAAAGUUUUAUUAUGAACUUUAA
rnacentral:lncRNA from 1 species